rnacentral:lncRNA from 1 species
ACCUCUGCCUACACCACAGGCUAGUGGACCAAGACACAACAAAAAAACCGCUGUCUUAGAAAAGUGAAGCUGUUACAAAUGCUGUUUUUGAAUUUGGUUGGACUGAAAUUUGAAUCACAGCUCUGCCACCUCCUCGGCUAUGUGAACUUUGGGGCCGAGGUGACAUCUACCAUUACUUUUUCUGGAAAUAAUCAAUUAUCUAAAGAAAUAAAUCAUAGAAACAAGACUUCAGAAAAAGAUCCUUGGACAAGAGGGCAUGGAAUGUAAAGGAAAUGGCUGAGCAGCAGCUGCAAACAAUUACUAAGCAUUUUCAACGGUCUUGUGAAAUGCCAUGAAUUGAGAGCAUCACUUCAGAAGCCUAGAUUGCAUCCUUUUGAAGAAAUGCAUCACCGUCCACCAGACCUAUCUUCUGUCUGUCCUUGGCAAGGUUACAGAUUAGACUUUUAUUGAGGCUCUGUCUUGUGACACCUUGAAAUAAAGGUGUCUGUCUUUUUCUUCUUGACCUCUCUCUCCUUGCUUUGCUUUCCUUCUAUCUUCCAGAAUAUAUUUCUUACCAUUCCUUUCGUUUUAGCACACCACAAUUCGUCAGUGCAGAAACUGGCUGCUAGAGAACCAGAGCUCCAUUCUGCACAUGCAGGAGGAAAUUUUCCUUUAGUCCUGUCCAACACAAGUGAGCUAAUCAUGAAAUGCUGUCUGUAUGAACUUUCCUAUUAUUGCGCUGGGGAUUCCUGAGUUUUAGUGGACUAGAAGAGAGAUUUUUCUGAAGAAACUUAACUCUUUAGACUAACAUGUGAAAUCUACAACAGAAAACACAACUAAAACAUGCAUAAUAAGCAACGGUUGCCAUAGUCAACUGACCUGUGUUCAGAGAGCAAAUGCUUCGUGGGGGAUGGGUAGCAGCAACAGGAGUUGGAGGCCUGAAAGGAACUUCAGUGACUUAAGAGAAGACGGGUGGAAGACUGGAUGGAUUGAUGGUACUCCAGGCCCAUUUGUAGCUAUCACACUAGGCUCUUGGUUACAUAGUGGCCCCAAGUCACAUCACAGAUAUCUGAGAAGGUCAGCAGUUAUGGACUUACCCAGUCUUUUGUUAACAAUUUACCUUUCUGUCAUUGCCACAGUGAAAGAAUAACUUUGCCCUGUAAUUAUUCAACCAAACGUGGACAGAAUCUGGAUGAGCAUAAAACUGGCAGAGGCAUUAGAAAAGACACUUUGAUCUCUUGUCUUCUAUAUUUUAAAGGAGUAAAUAAUUGGAUGAAAUAUAGACAUUUUUCUGACUGCCAUAUACUCAGGUGUCCUACAAGCAGG